rnacentral:rRNA from 1 species
CCUACGGGAGGCAGCAGUGAGGAAUAUUGGUCAAUGGCCGGAAGGCUGAACCAGCCAUGCCGCGUGAAGGUCAGUGCCCUAUGGGCGUUAAACUUCUUUUGUGCGGGAGCAAUAAUGGUCACGUGUGGCCAGACGAGAGUACCGUACGAAUAAGCAUCGGCUAACUCCGUGCCAGCAGCCGCGGUAAUACGGGGGAUGCAAGCGUUAUCCGGAUUUAUUGGGUUUAAAGAGUGAGUAGGCUGUGAGGUAAGUCAGCGUGGAAAUGCCCCCGCUCAACGGGGUGAAGUGCCAUUGAUACUGCCUUGCUGGAAUGCGGCUGCCGUGGGAGGAAUGUGUGGUGUAGCGGUGAAAUGCAUAGAUAUCACACAGAACACCGAUUGCGAAGGCAUCUCACGAAUCCGCGAUUGACGCUGAUGCACGAAAGCGUGGGUAUCAAACAGGAUUAGAUACCCCAGUAGUC